rnacentral:rRNA from 1 species
ACGCGACGAACCUUACCAGGUCUUGACAUCCCUCUGACCGGUAUAGAGAUAUACCUUUCCUUCGGGACAGAGGAGACAGGUGGUGCAUGGUUGUCGUCAGCUCGUGUCGUGAGAUGUUGGGUUAAGUCCCGCAACGAGCGCAACCCUUGAUCUUAGUUGCCAGCAUUUCGGAUGGGCACUCUAAGGUGACUGCCGGUGACAAACCGGAGGAAGGUGGGGAUGACGUCAAAUCAUCAUGCCCCUUAUGACCUGGGCUACACACGUACUACAAUGGCCAGUACAACGGGAAGCGAAGCCGCGAGGUGGAGCCAAUCCUAAAAAGCUGGUCUCAGUUCGGAUUGCAGGCUGCAACUCGCCUGCAUGAAGUCGGAAUUGCUAGUAAUCGCGGAUCAGCAUGCCGCGGUGAAUACGUUCCCGGGUCUUGCACACACCGCCCGU